rnacentral:lncRNA from 1 species
GACUCUCUUUCAGAUGCAGCACGAAGAUAUUGAGUACUCCUGGCCUUCAGUUCAACAUUUUUGGCUAGCAAGGAGAGGAUAUUAGAGUGAACAACCUUCAACGUCGCUUUAAAGUUAGCAAAAACAUUGAGCGACAGAAGUGUAAGUGCUUGCACCAAUUUCGCACUCAAUAACUCAAGCUUAUCCUUAUGUUUAGUAGCACUAGCCUGGCCGAUAUCCACAUCCAUAAAAGACACAUACUCAAAUACCGACUGCUUGAGAAACUUUAUAUUUUCCUCUAAAGAAGUAGAAGGAUGGCUGGUUGAAGUAGGGCGAGACGUCUUGACUUGUCCCUAGGAAGUAAACAAGUCCUGGAUGGAACGCAUAAUGUCAUUAGCACCCUACAAAGAAAAAUGCCAACAUUGAGGACUUUCACUACAAUAAACGAAGCGAAACUGAAAGUGAAGCAAAAUGUUACCUCAUCGGCAAUCUUGGGAAGUUCAGGCAUAUCAUUAGUUGGCUCUACCACCUGUGGGGACUUCUCCUUAUCUGGGCGAGAAGACUCUGCCACAACGUGUAGGCCCAUGGGAGCCUAUGCAUAAUUCAAGAAGUAACGAAUCAGAAACCAGUAGCACAAGCAAAGGUAAAACGUCAAAAUAUGUAUUACCUUCUGAUUCGACGUUUGGAGGGUCAGCACCCUGGGAAGAAGGUGGCCCUUCUACUGGUUGUGAUGAAGGUUCCGGGACUAAGGGUUUCUCUUUAAUCAUAAUCCCUUCAUCAGCUGAUUUGGACGAAGCAGCUUCAGCAGAAGAUGAUGGAGCAGAAGCUGCCAAAACCAAAGCCUUCGAAGGAGAGGC